rnacentral:rRNA from 1 species
CCUACGGGUGGCAGCAGUGAGGAAUAUUGGUCAAUGGUCGGGAGACUGAACCAGCCAAGCCGCGUGAGGGAUGAAGGUACAGAGUAUCGUAAACCUCUUUUGUCAGGGAACAAAGGCGGGGACGCGUCCCCGGAUGAGUGUACCUGAAGAAAAAGCAUCGGCUAACUCCGUGCCAGCAGCCGCGGUAAUACGGAGGAUGCGAGCGUUAUCCGGUUUUAUUGGGUUAAAAGGGUGCGCAGGCGGUCUGUUAAGUCAGCGGUAAAAGCCCGGGGCUCAACCCCGGCCCGCCGUUGAAACUGGCAGUCUCGAGUUGGAGAGAAGUAUGCGGAAUGCGCGGUGGAGCGGUGAAAUGCAUAGAUAUCGCGCAGAACUCCGAUUGCGAAGGCAGCAUGCCGGCUCCACACUGACGCUGAGGCACGAAAGCGUGGGUAUCGAACAGGAUUAGAUACCCUAGUAGUC